GUGCACCCACUCACACCCCGACACGCGUCCUCCUCCCCAUUGCACUUAUAAACCAACCAGAUCGAAUGAAAUGAAAUGAAAUCAACGGGAAAGCAAUUCAGGCGGCAAUCAUAUAUUCACUCCUUCCAUCUCUCCUCUCCCUCAUUCCCAGAGAGAGAGAGGGAGAGAGAGCAAACCAAACCGGCCAGUUUCCUACACAAACACAGGAAAUUUUGUGGAGUGGACUGUGUAUACUUUGAUCAUACGCAGAGAUGGUCGGGAUGGAGGUGAAAUGGUGGGAGAAAAUGGUGUUUCCGAUGCGGAAAGUUUGGGUUAGCGUCUCCAGAAGGUUUGGGUUUCGCAAAACAGGGCUCAUCAAACUCCACAAAGACGUGAGGACAUGUGAGUACGAGGAUGUCCAUAUAUUAUGGGACUUGCUGAAGAGGAACGAGGCCAGAAGCAGAAAGGGCCACUCGUGGAGGUUCCAAUGGGCUCUUUGCUUUGCCGCUGAUCUUAAUGAAUCUUACUUUUGAACAACAUAUAUAUGCAGUGUGUGUGAGCUCUGAAGAUCAUACCAUUUUGCUGUCUCUUACUGUAAUUAAUCAGUAUCCUCUUUCUCUUGAAACUGUGAAGAUGUAAAUGUCCUAUGAUGUUUCUCUCCACACUCAACGUAGGUCUCUCUUUUUGGGUUUUUUUUAAUGUAGAAGGGAUGCUGGAGAUUAGCUAAAUGUAUGAUAUUGUGGAGGCUCUCCAACUGUAUGUUUGUUGGAAUCAAAGAACCCCUCCCAUUCUUGGGAUGUUGUAAUAA